rnacentral:rRNA from 1 species
CCUACGGGGGGCAGCAGUGGGGAAUAUUGGGCAAUGGGCGCAAGCCUGACCCAGCAACGCCGCGUGAAGGAAGAAGGCUUUCGGGUUGUAAACUUCUUUUAUCAGGGACGAAGCAAGUGACGGUACCUCAUGAAUAAGCCACGGCUAACUACGUGCCAGCAGCCGCGGUAAUACGUAGGUGGCAAGCGUUAUCCGGAUUUACUGGGUGUACAGGGCGUGUAGGCGGGAGUGCAAGUCAGAUGUGAAAAGUAUGGGCUCAACCCAGAGCCUGCAUUUGAAACUGUACUUCUUGAGUGCUGGAGAGGCAAUCGGAAUUCGGGGUGUAGCGGUGAAAUGCGUAGAUAUACGGAGGAACACCAGUGGCGAAGGCGGAUUGCUGGACAGUAACUGACGCUGAGGCGCGAAAGCGUGGGUAGCAAACAGGAUUAGAUACCCGUGUAGUC